UACAGAGGUCCCAAGCGUUGUUCGGAUUCAUUGGGCGUAAAGGGUGCGUAGGCGGGCAGGUAAGUCCGUGGUGAAAUCUCUGAGCUUAACUCAGAAACUGCCAUGGAUACUAUUUGUCUUGAAUAUUGUGGAGGUAAGCGGAAUAUGUCAUGUAGCGGUGAAAUGCUUAGAUAUGACAUAGAACACCAAUUGCGAAGGCAGCUUGCUACACAGUUAUUGACGCUGAGGCACGAAAGCGUGGGAUCAACAGG
rnacentral:rRNA from 1 species